AGAACUGCGCUGCAGCCUAAAGUGUGGGUGCGCUAUUGGACAGAGGAGACUUUCAAUGCGGAUAAUGGAAUGUACCAGGCAAAGGAUAAAGAAACAUUGGAACACGGAAUGAUAGAAGAGUAAGCUUCCUGAUGAACUUUAGAUAAUAAUGGCACAGAAAUGAUGCUGUUUUGCUGCUUCUUUCCCCUGAUGUUAGUAACUCCCAAACAGUAAGGAUGAUAAGACACUGAAAUAAAAACAAAAGACACCCUUGGUCUCUACUGCAAUUAGCAGACAUAGAAGACCUCCUUCUGUAAUUCGAGCCACAUUGUGUCUGGAAAGGCUGCUAGUGAAAAAUAGGAAUUGAGUUUG
rnacentral:lncRNA from 1 species